rnacentral:rRNA from 1 species
AUUGAACGCUGGCGGCAUGCUUUACACAUGCAAGUCGAACGGCAGCGCGGGGCAACCUGGCGGCGAGUGGCGAACGGGUGAGUAAUAUAUCGGAACGUACCCAGAAGUGGGGGAUAACGUAGCGAAAGUUACGCUAAUACCGCAUACGAUCUACGGAUGAAAGUAGGGGACCGCAAGGCCUUAUGCUUUUGGAGCGGCCGAUAUCUGAUUAGCUAGUUGGUGAGGUAAAGGCUCACCAAGGCGACGAUCAGUAGCUGGUCUGAGAGGACGACCAGCCACACUGGAACUGAGACACGGUCCAGACUCCUACGGGAGGCAGCAGUGGGGAAUUUUGGACAAUGGGCGCAAGCCUGAUCCAGCAAUGCCGCGUGAGUGAAGAAGGCCUUCGGGUUGUAAAGCUCUUUUGUCAGGGAAGAAACGGUAGAGGCUAAUAUCCUUUGCUAAUGACGGUACCGGAAGAAUAAGCACCGGCUAACUACGU